UACAGAGGUCUCAAGCGUUGUUUCGGAUUCAUUGGGCGUAAAGGGUGUGUAGGUGGCGCCGUAAGUCGGGUGUGAAAUUUCGGAGCUUAACUCCGAAACUGCAUUCGAUACUGCGGUGCUUGAGGACUGGAGAGGAGACUGGAAUUCUGGUGAGCAGUGAAAUGCGUAGAGAUCAUGAGGAAGACCAGUGGCGAAGGCGGGUCUCUGGACAGU
rnacentral:rRNA from 1 species